GGGUUCAUGGCCUAAUGGUAAGGCGUCAGAUUUCGGUUCCGUCUGGAUAUUCCGCUCUCUGAAGAUUGCAGGUUCGAUCCCUGCUGAGCUCG
rnacentral:tRNA from 1 species